UGACCUCAAAUCAGGCAAGAAUACCCGCUGAACUUAAGCAUAUCAAUAAGCGGAGGAAAAGAAACUAACAAGGAUUCCCCUAGUGACGGCGAGUGAAGAGGGAAGAGCUCAAAUUUUAAAUCCGCCUUGUUCGCAAGGCCGAGUUGUAAUUUGAAGAAGCGUUUUCUUGGGCUCGCUGCCGGUAGAAGUUCUUUGGAACAGGACAUCAUAGAGGGUGACAAUCCCGUCUGUGACCGGUCGCGCGGUUCAUCUACGAUACGCUUUCAAAGAGUCGAGUUGUUUGGGAUUGCAGCUCCAAACGGGUGGUAAACAUCACCUAAGGCUAUAUAUUGGCGAGAGACCGAUAGCGAACAAGUACCGUGAGGGAAAGAUGAAAAGAACUUUGAAAAGAGAGUUAAACAGUAUGUGAAAUUGUUGAAAGGGAAACGAUUGAAGUCAGUCGUGCUGGCGCGAAAUCAGCUCGACCACUAGGGGAUCACGGGCCGUAGCGAGUCUCAAAACCGUUACGACUUGUGAUUGCUUAGUGGCAUGGUGCACUUUCGUGUCGGCUGGUUAACAUCAAUUUCGACCGUCAUAAAAAGGCUGGAGGGAUGUGGCUCCUUCGGGAGUGUUAUAACCUUUGGCGGAAUGUAGUGGUCGGGAUUGAGGUUUGCAACGAAUACCUUCAGGGCUGUUCCACCUGGCCUCUCAUCGGCAUCCUGGCGACGACAGCUUGCUGACGUUGUUAGGAUCAGCCUUCGAACAGGCUAGAGUGUGAGCAAAUUCGUUAAGGAUGUUAACGUAAUGGCUUUAAACGACCCGUCUUGAAACACGGACCAAGGAG
rnacentral:rRNA from 1 species